rnacentral:ncRNA from 1 species
CCUCCUGUGAGAAUGCCCUAGAUUGUCCUUAAUGGAAAGAAGGAGCAGGUAUUAGGCACAACUUUCUGUUAGCCCACGAUAUCUUGUUUAGCCACACCCCCACGGGAAUUCAGCAGUAAUAAAUAUUAAGCAAUAAGUGAAAACUUGACUUAGUUAAAACCAAAAGAGCCGGUAAAACUCGUGCCAGCCACCGCGGUUAUACGAGAGGCUCAAGUUGUUAAACACCGGCGUAAAAGGUGGGCAAUACAUUAAUUUACUAGAGUCAAACGCCUUCCAAACUGUUAUACGCUGCCGAAGACAGGAAGCCCUCCCACGAAAGUGACUUUAAAUAAUAUUACCCCACGAAAGUCAGGAAACAAACUGGGAUUAGAUACCCCACUAUGCCUGACCCCAAACAUAAGUGACAGGUCACAUCCUUCACUUGCCAGGGAACUACGAGCCGCAGCUUAAAACCCAAAGGACUUGGCGGUGCUUUAGACCCCCCUAGAGGAGCCUGUUCUAGAACCGAUAAUCCCCGUUAAACCUCACCCCCUCUUGUUUCUCCCGCCUAUAUACCGCCGUCGUCAGCUUACCCUUUGAGGGUUAAACAGUGAGCAUAAAUGGCACUGCCUAAAACGUCAGGUCGAGGUGUAGCGUACGAGGGGGGAAGAAAUGGGCUACAUUCACUGAAUCAGUGAAUACGGACAAUGCCUUGAAACCAGACAUUUAAAGGAGGAUUUAGCAGUAAGAGACGAAUAGAGAGCUUCUCUGAAACUGGCCCUGAAGCACGCACACACCGCCCGUCACUCUCCCCAAAGACAAUAUAAUUUAAAUAAACAACAACUUCAACCAAAGGGGAGGCAAGUCGUAACAUGGUAAGUGUACCGGAAGGUGCACUUGGAUCAAU